GUUGUCCUGUAUUGGCAUAAAAGAGACCUAAAUUACCUCGAUAAUGACUGACAUGUAUUUAUUCACUGGAAGAGUAUCAUUUACCCUGAUCAUGGCCACUAAAUUAUAAAUUGAUAAAUUGGUUUUCUCUAAAUGAAAUACAAAUAAUGAAAGCUUAGAGAGCCUUAGUUAAAUUUCCAAUGGUUUGGAGACCAAUGAAAAAUACGCAUAUGUAACCAGUAUCAGUAGAAUGUUACUAUACUAUGCUAAUCUACUUUGAUUUUUUUACUUGAAGAUAUGAAUGAUUAAAUCGUAUCUCUAGGGAAGAAAUGUUAGUACAAAAUGAAAAAUGCAAUUUCCACUUAUAAAUUUCUAAAGUCUGAUUUCAGAAAGUCCCAAAUAUCAAAUAUGUUCAGUAUAUUUGCUUUGAGAUUGUAGAAUCAUAUAGUGAUUCUUCUGUUUAGAAUAAGGUUAGGAAAGGAAGGGAGUGGUAGCCUUGAAACUUAUGUUGCCUUGGUAGGUCAUUUGCCAUUAAAAAAAUUAGUGAAUUCA